GGGGAUAACAUUCGGAAACGGGUGCUAAUACCGCAUAAUAUCUUCUUCCGCAUGGAAGAAGAUUGAAAGACGGCUCUGCUGUCACUUAUAGAUGACCUUGCGGUGCAUUAGUUAGUUGGUGGGGUAACGGCCUACCAAGACGAUGAUGCAUAGCCGACCUGAGAGGGUGAUCGGCCACAUUGGGACUGAGACACGGCCCAA
rnacentral:rRNA from 1 species